CAGUAGGCUCAACAGGGAUAAUCCAUUGUGCACCUUUGCAGUUAGCAAGAAACAAACAAAAUUUUCACGAAUAUAUAUUUUAAUAAUUAGCUUCAUGCUUUUUUUUCUAUUAGCACCGAUCUAGAUACACGUGAAGUACAAAUAUUUUAUGAUUGGUUAUAAAGGAACGGAGCAUGCGCAUAGCAUACGAGUUCACGAUGAUCAACUCUUUUAAAAAGGCAUGAAUACCUGGCUUUCUGGCAUUAUCUAAUAUUUCGAAGAGUGACAUGGAAUUUCAUAGUCGAGUUACCGUAAUUUAUUGGAAUGAAGGGAAAGAGAAAAACAAACAAACUCCUAGCGCCAUCUACCAGACCUUCCGCACAAUUUUACGUGUCUGUAGAAUCAUAGGAGGGUCUUGUGUGAAGGGCUUAGCGGAAAGUGGUCCAGAAAAUGUUUAUGCAAAAAGAUGUAGUUUCCUAUUGAUUUAUGCUGUUAUCAUUUGGUCACUUAUGCUAUCAGGCUGUGUUAUUUUGAUAUUAUAUACACUAAUAUCAAAUAAAUAUCCACCAUUCACAAAUUUCAUAAACUCCUCGGCGCUCGGGCUUAUGGCUUUCAGUUCCGUUGUUUUGGCUAUGAUGUCUUGGUACAAAGGACCUGAUUGCGUUUCGAUUUUGAAAAAAAUACUUAUUCUGGAGAAAGAACUUGGGCUUUCUUCCACAAACAAACAGAAAAUUAAAACGUUCUUAAAUGUGUAUUUGAUGUUCUUUUUCUUCAUUUUUCCUUUUAUCUUAAUAUCGCUUGCGAUCUUGUCAAAAAAUUCAGAAAUAGAUUACCAGAAUUUGCCCAACUUCAUCUUUGGUUGGACAAGUUUCCUUAUUCUUCUGGUAUGGGAAGAAUACUACGUCUUGUAUGUCCUAUAUUUUGCUGUUGUAUUUAUUGGAUUAUUUGAUUCUCUGAACAGUCAAGCUGAAGAGCUGUUAGGUAAAGUUGGGAAAAUAGAUCUUUUGGAAAUUCAAAGAUUUAAGAAACUUCAUUCUAGAAUGUCCAAUCUUGUGAAGGAAACGGACAAGCUUUUAUCUCCUGGAAUAUUUAUUUACUUUUCCAAUGGAACCGUAUUUUGUUGCGUCUGGGGGUCAAUGUUGAAUGAAUGUUUAAAUAUUCGUGCGAAAUUAUUUCUAAUACUUUUUAUUGGUUAACAGUUUUGUAGGUAUGCUUACGAUGACCUUACAUUCGGAAUGUUUGGGAAAGAAGAUAAGACAGGUCUUUAGGAUGAUACAAAGAGUUCCACCAGGAAAGCUCCCUCUGGAUUUCAUGCAACAAGUGAUGCUAUCAGUUUUGAUGACGUCAGACGAAGAAGUCCACUUCACUGCAUCGGGGUUCUUUACGAUUAACAGCGCAUUGAUGACAACGAUAACUGGAGCAAUUUUAACUUACACCACAAUUUUAAUCCAGAGUCGGGGGUUGUGAACCGGCACCGGUUCUACAAUGAAAAACAGCUUUGUCCUGGAUAUAUAAAUGUUUUCGUGAAGAUGUUCCCCUCCCCCAUUCUUAGUAUACCUGUAUGAACACACAUAUAUAUAUAUGUGUGUGUGUGUGUGUGUGCAAUUAUCAAUAAUUUCUAAUAAAAGCAAGUUAUCCACAUUGAUCAGAAUUAAAAACCAACCCAUUAAUAAUGUAACUUAUUUAAAAUACCUGUAUCUCUACGAGUUUGCAGUGUCUUAAAGAAACAACAACAACUUAUAGUGAUUAAAAUGCAUUGAUUCGUCAGUUAGGUACUUUCGCUAUUACGAUAUUUUCGGCCAUAAUCCCAAUAAUACCUCACCAGGUUCGGCCAAGUUAAGCGAUAUAGAUUAGUCUUAUUAUCAUAUAGUAAGCUAGCAUUGUUAAAUAAUCCUCAUAAUACAACAAUGUAAAUGUAUAAUAAUUAAAUUAAAAUAGACAUAUCAUAUGUAUUAAUAAUUUUAACUGUUAAUAUUAUUGAAACAAACAUUGAAGAAAGAGUACAAUAUACCUUUGCUUACAAAACACAUAAAACUACUUGUGUAUAUUAUUCGCUAGCACUGACUGCCUGUCCUUUGAAGAUAAAUUAACGUAGUCACAAUAAUUAUGCUGCUUGAAAAUCUAAGGAUAUUGAUCUAUUUUUAGUUGUAUAAUUAAGUUGGAAACGUGUUUAUAUUAUAUCAGUUUGGAACAAACUGACAUCAUAUAAAUAAACAAAUGUUCUGAGCACAACCCACUUCAGUAAAUGUGAAAAUCAGAUUUCUAAAUCCUGGAAAAGAUCUUUUGGCAUAUGUUAAGAAGUAUUAGAAAAUCGUAUCGAUGAUUCUGUUCAUUCAUUUUAUAAUUUCAAGCUACCGUUAUUUUGUGUAUGAUAAGAUAUGCAUGAUGUUUCAUGCAUUUGAACUUAUUGUAUAAUAUAUGAUAACCAAGUCCUAUUUAUGAUAUUCUAGCCGUUUCAUUACCAUAUCCUAUUUGCGAUAUUCUGGGCGUUUCAUUACCAUGUUCUACUUACGAUAUUUUAGACGUUUCAUUACCAUGUUCUACUUAAGAUAUUCUAGAUGUUUGAUUAGAAAGUCCUAUAUACAAACUGUUUUCUGUACGUUCAAUUUCCAAGCGUUACUUACCGUAUUCGGUACGUUUGAUUACCAAGCCUUACUUACCGUAAUUGGUACGUUUGAUUUCCAAGCCUUACUUAUAGUAUUCUGUACGUUUAAUUUCUAAGCCUUAUUUACCUCAUUCUGUAGGUUUGAUUUCUGAGUCCUGUUUACCAAGUGCUUAGUGGAAAAAAGCAAAGUUGUUUGCUGUAGAUGUAAGCAUUUUAUCGAAACUAGCUUCUAAUGAAGUUGAAAUUGAGAUUAUUCCUUACUAUUAAUUUACCUGCAUGAUUUUAUUUCGGUUUUUAGAAAUACCACAUGUAUUUAAUGCACUAGCUUAAUUCUUAUGUAGUGUUGUUUAACAAGUUGGCUUGAAUGACAAUUAAAUCUUUAAUAAAGUAAUAUAGAGUGUCUCUGUAUCUGUGAUGACGUCCAA